rnacentral:rRNA from 1 species
AUGUCCAGGUCCAAGGAGAUGGAUGCGGACUUCAGGUACAAAGAGUACCUCGUGUUUGAUCCCACGGUAUCACCCCACUAUCAGGUGUUUGUGAUCCCAAAUCCAAGGCGCAAAACGAAGCCCGGAGAUUUUGGUUACAACAAAAGGAUUGAUGAAUUAGAUCCCGUUAUGGAGAAAUCUGAAUGGCCUCCAUCUGUGUGCGCUUUGCACGUUUUCUCCUCGAGGUCCGGCCGUUGGGAGGAGAGGUCUUUUAUUCGAGAUGAGAAGGCUGCAGGCACCAUCGCUGAUAUGCGGGGGCACUCCGACUGGUACUAUGACAAGCAUUAUGCUGUCUACUGCCGGGGUGCACUUUACGUCCACUGCGAAACUGAUUUCGUAAUGAGGAUCUCUUUAUCAAAUGAUAAGUACCAUGUAAUUAAACCACCGAUACAUGGUGAACUCGGUGAGUGCAGGAAGCUCCAUCUUGGACGAUCAGAAAAUGGGGUCUACCUUGCAACUACUAUUUUUGAAACGUCUCAUCUUAUGGUUUGGGUCCUUGAUGAAUCGUGUGGCCAAAUGAAUUGGGUCUUGAAGUAUAACAGCUGCCUUCCACCCAUACUGGAUUAUGAUCGUCAUGUUCUUGGCCCAUGGGUCUUACAAGAUGUUAACUAUAAUGGGUAUCUCAAAGAGAGAAAGGAGGGCACUGAAGAUGAUGAAGAUAUAGAAUACAUGGAAUACCUAAAAGAAAACAAAUUAGAGUUAAACUCGGGCAAGGAAGAGCUAGUGGAAGAAAAGUUUGAAUGGGACUCUGAAAAUGACAACAUACUUCAUAAGGAAGAUGUGGUUGAUGCUCAUGGCAGUGGAUACAUUGAUAUCCUUGGAUUCCAUCCAUAUAAAGAGAUUGUCUUCCUGGCUGUAUCAAUGUACAGAGGAAUUGCCUAUAAUUUCAAAGAUUCAAAGGUUCAGGACCUUGGCUACUUAUACCCAACAACUUGUCAUUUGGCAUUGCCGAACGAGUGUUUCAUAACCGAGUCAUUCCCAUACACACCCUGUUGGACAGGGCACCAGUAA